UUUUUUUUUUUUUUUUUUUUUUUUUUUUUUUUUUUUUUGUGCUUUCAGUUCU
rnacentral:ribozyme from 13 species